UGGGAAUCUUCCGCAAUGGACGAAAGUCUGACGGAGCAACGCCGCGUGAGUGAAGAAGGUUUUCGGAUCGUAAAGCUCUGUUGUCAGGGAAGAACAAGUACGGAAGUAACUGUCCGUACCUUGACGGUACCUGACCAGAAAGCCACGGCUAACUACGUGCCAGCAGCCGCGGUAAUACGUAGGUGGCAAGCGUUGUCCGGAAUUAUUGGGCGUAAAGCGCGCGCAGGCGGCUUCUUAAGUCUGAUGUGAAAGCCCACGGCUCAACCGUGGAGGGUCAUUGGAAACUGGGAGGCUUGAGUGCAGAAGAGGAGAGCGGAAUUCCACGUGUAGCGGUGAAAUGCGUAGAGAUGUGGAGGAACACCAGUGGCGAAGGCGGCUCUCUGGUCUGUAACUGACGCUGAGGCGCGAAAGCGUGGGGAGCGAACAGGAUUAGAUACCCUGGUAGUCCACGCCGUAAACGAUGAGUGCUAAGUGUUGGAGGGUUUCCGCCCUUCAGUGCUGCAGCUAACGCAUUAAGCACUCCGCCUGGGGAGUACGGCCGCAAGGCUG
rnacentral:rRNA from 1 species